rnacentral:rRNA from 1 species
UGGGGAAUAUUGCACAAUGGGCGCAAGCCUGAUGCAGCAAUGCCGCGUGAGUGAAGACGGCCUUAGGGUUGUAAAACUCUUUCGCUAGGGAAGAUAAUGACGGUACCUAGUAAAGAAGUCCCGGCUAACUCCGUGCCAGCAGCCGCGGUAAUACGGAGGGGACUAGCGUUGUUCGGAAUUACUGGGCGUAAAGCGCACGUAGGCGGACCAGAAAGUUGGGGGUGAAAUCCCGGGGGCUCAACCCCGGAACUGCCUCCAAAACUAUUGGUCUAGAGUUCGAGAGAGGUGAGUGGAAUUCCAAGUGUAGAGGUGAAAUUCGUAGAUAUUUGGAGGAACACCAGUGGCGAAGGCGGCUCACUGGCUCGAUACUGACGCUGAGGUGCGAAAGUGUGGGGAGCAAACAGGAUUAGAUACCCUGGUAGUCCACGCCGUAAAACGAUGUCUGCUAGUCGUUGGGGGGCGUAGCCCUUCAGUGACGCCGCUAACGCAUUAAGCAG